GGGCAUGACCUGGCGUCCUCUU
rnacentral:miRNA from 1 species